rnacentral:lncRNA from 1 species
UGGGAUGUAGGUUUUAAGAUUAUGUUUUCUGCCUUUUAUUUCAAAUCUAUCAUAAUAUAGGACAGAGGUUCUCAGGGUCUCUACUAGCCCAUGUGCACUGAGAUACCGGUAAAUCUUAACAACUGGUUCUCUUGUUGGAGACAGCCCUUCUCUGUAGGGUUUGUAUAAUUUCCUUCGUGUGAAUACUCCCACCAUGACUGAUUUCAGGUUACCAAUGUGAUUGUCACUGAAUGGGGGAUUGGGAGGAGAUGCACACUAUGGGCUCAGCUUGACAGCUGGUGUGAGCUGGUCCCAGUACACUACUGUCACUAUAAGGCGCCUUUGCACAAAUUAGAAAACAGCACACCCUCUGGGAAGAUACCACAGGGCUUAGUGAGUGGUACAGGGGAUGGAGUGCAGUCCCCACUUCACUCCUUGGCCGAGCAUGGUAGUGCAGUGUAUUGACCUGCACCAACCGCUGUGAGCUCUGAGAGUUCUUACUUUGGGGCUCAUCAAUCCCUAAGGGCCCCUGGGUGGGCUCCUUCCUGUACAGUCAAUUGUGUGUGUGUGUGUGUGUGUGUGUGUGUGUGUGUGUGUAUGUGUGGGCCUUUAUCUAGGGAGCGGAUCCAUGGCUUUUAUCAGAUUUUCAAGAGUUCCUAAUUCAAAAAGUUAAAUACUUGAAAAUUAUAAUUACCUUGGUAGGAAUCUGCGGAUUUUGGAACUCCUUUUAAAUGCAAUUUCAAAGGCCAUGGAGCCACAGGAUCUAGUAAGAGUCCUGAUUUUGCAGCUUUCUAGGAAGAAAGACAACAUAAUUUUGAAACUGGAGUCAAAAACAGAAUUUUGGUAGGCCUAGGCAUUUUUGAAUCCCUCAUAGAUAUAUGCCAUAUUCACGAUGCAGUCAGAAGGCAACAGGGUUUGGUUUUCCUGCAUUCACCACAUGCUAAUCUCAACAGCAGGCAUUAGGAAAACAUAGAAAUAUUCAUUCCUUUCUGUCCUUUAUAAGUGACACAGAGCACUUCAGGAAUCACUGAUUCCUUUCUGUCUUUGCCCCGAGGCUGGACUUACACCUGAUGUAUAGUCAUUUUGCUCAGGCUCAUCCUCCACAAUUUCUAGCAUUGGGAGAAUGUUUUUUGUGGCAGAAUCUAAUAGCUGUGGCUGCUGUUUGAGGGCAAGGAGUGAUAAAGGAAGGCACUGACUUCCAUUUCAGCGGUUGAGUCUGCAUAAGCCAGAGUUACAAUCUAAGAAUCUUACCAGUGUUUGAAAUGUUCAGGAUGCUGAGGCAGAUGGAUGCAUUCCUGGAAGGGAGGCCCUGAGAGCUGGCACAGACGGCCUGAAUCUGCAGUCAUUUCUCCUCCACCAAGGUCAUAGAGGGGUUCAACUGGCAUCAAACCCCUCUCUUUCAAAAAAAGCCUGUUCCAGUUGUCAAAAAGACUUCCUUUA